rnacentral:rRNA from 1 species
AGCGAACGCUGGCGGCAGGCCUAACACAUGCAAGUCGAACGAAGCCUUCGGGCUUAGUGGCGGACGGGUGAGUAACACGUGGGAACGUAGCUUUUGGUUCGGAAUAACGCAGAGAAAUUUGCGCUAAUACCGAAUGAGACCUUCGGGGGAAAGAUUUAUCGCCGAAAGAUCGGCCCGCGUUGGAUUAGGUAGUUGGUGUGGUAAAGGCGCACCAAGCCUACGAUCCAUAGCUGGUCUGAGAGGAUGAUCAGCCACACUGGGACUGAGACACGGCCCAGACUCCUACGGGAGGCAGCAGUGGGGAAUCUUGCGCAAUGGGCGAAAGCCUGACGCAGCCAUGCCGCGUGAAUGAUGAAGGUCUUAGGAUUGUAAAAUUCUUUUACCAGGGACGAUAAUGACGGUACCUGGAGAAAAAGCCCCGGCUAACUUCGUGCCAGCCGCCGCCGUAAGAC